rnacentral:tRNA from 1 species
GCGGGUGUAGCUCAGGGGUAGAGCACAACCUUGCCAAGGUUGGGGUUGAGGGUUCGAAUCCCUUCGCCCGCU